AUACUCGGGUAAUCGCUGUAUGUUUCCAUACAGAGGAAAGUCCAUGCUCGCACAGACUGAGACGUCUGUAGUGUUCGUGCCUGACGAAACCAUAAGUCAGGGUAGUUUUUACUAACGGCAGGGAAAGUUCCUACGUCUUCGGAUAUGGAAUGAAUACCUUGAAAGUGCCACAGUGACGGAGCCAAAAUAGAAAUAUUUUGGGUGGAACGAGGUAAACCCCACGAGCGAGCAACCCAAAUGAAGGUAGGGGCACUCUUCAAUAGGAAAUGAACUAGAGAAGAGGUCGUUAAUUCGGCAGAUAGAUGAUUACCACCGGAGUACGAGGUUGACCACCGCUUGCAGUACGAUGGAACAGAACAUGGCUUACAGAG
rnacentral:RNase_P_RNA from 2 species